rnacentral:piRNA from 2 species
GAGGUGUCAUUUCUAAUCACACUGAACGGC